GGUGGAGACCAGUUCCAGGGGCAGGGAUCUGGGUAUGAAUAAAAGGGUGUAUGAUGUGGGUGGGUUGGGAUAGGCCCAGGAGCCAGGAUUGUGGGAGAUCAGAUUCAGGGGUAGGGCCUUCCUUGGAUCCCUAGAUUGUUGAUACAGUUACUGCCCCAUGUUCAUACAACCCAAUAGGAUCAGAUUAUGUAUGCACAUUUGUCUAUAACUUGCUUUCCCAAGGCAGAACAUAGUGAUUUAACACUAAGAGUUUAGGGGAGCAGGAGAGGACUGGGUCAUAGAUACACAUAUAGGAAAACUUAAGAAUGGUACAAAGUCAGUCAAAUAUUCUCCCACCACGGUCUUUCAGUUCUUUUGCUCAGAGGCAAAAAUAAUUUUCUCCUCUAUCUUUCCAGAUAUAGUGUGGACAUGUAUGUGUGUGUAUGUGUGUAUGCCGUAGUCAUAUUCAUGGAAUAAAUGCUAUUACCUCCCCCCCAA
rnacentral:lncRNA from 10 species